rnacentral:rRNA from 1 species
GAUGAACGCUGGCGGCGUGCCUAACACAUUCAAGUCGAACGGUGACGGGGACUUCGGUCCCCUGAUCAGUGGCGGACGGGUGAGUAACGCGUGAGCAACCUGCCUCUGCGUGGGGGAUAACGAUUGGAAACGAUCGCUAAUACCGCAUAAUGUAAUUUCUUGGCAUCUAGAAAUUCCAAAGAUUUAUUGCGCAGAGAUGGGCUCGCGUCUGAUUAGAUAGUUGGUGGGGUAACGGCCUACCAAGUCGACGAUCAGUAGCCGGACUGAGAGGUUGAACGGCCACAUUGGAACUGAGAAACGGUCCAGACUCCUACGGAGGCAGCAGUGGGAAUAUUGCGCAAUGGGGGAAACCCUGACGCAGCAACGCCGCGUGCUAGGAAGAAGGUCUUCGGAUU